UACAGAGGUGGCAAGCGUUGUUCGGAUUUACUGGGCGUAAAGGGCGCGUAGGCGGCGUGGUAAGUCACUUGUGAAAUCUCCGGGCUUAACUCGGAACGGUCAAGUGAUACUGCUGUGCUAGAGUGCGGAAGGGGCAACUGGAAUUCUCGGUGUAGCGGUGAAAUGCGCAGAUAUCAGGAGGAACACCGGUGGCGAAGGCGGGUCUCUGGGCCGAUACUGACGCUGAGGAGCGAAAGCGUGGGGAGCAAACAGG
rnacentral:rRNA from 1 species